CCAAAGAUCAGUGGCUGCCCAGGCCUUGUGCAAGGGGCAGCCGAGGGAGCUCAGGCCACAGCCACCAGACUCAGAGGCAUGGCUUUCAACGGAGCCCCACGGAGGGUGGGGGUGGUAGGUUAUGGCCGCCUCGGACAGUUUCUCGUCUCCCAUCUGCUAGCUCAGGGACCAGAACUGGGCCUAAAACUUGUUUUUGUCUGGAAUCGUGACCCAGGACGAAUGGCAGGGAGUGUGCCUCUUUCCCUGCAGCUCCAGAACCUUGCUGACCUUGGGGAAAGGCACCCUGAUCUUGUGGUGGAAGUGGCCCAUCCCCAAAUAAUACAUGAAUCUGGGGCACAAAUCCUGCAUCAUGCCAAUCUCCUGGUGGGGUCUCCCUCAGCCUUAGCUGACCAGAUAACUGAGCGGCAGCUCCUAGAGGCUUCACACUACUGGGGCCACUCUGUGUUUGUGGCCCGAGGGGCCCUGUGGGGCACUGAGGACAUCACCAGGUUGGAUGCAGCUGGAGGCCUGCAGAGCCUUCGUGUCACCAUGGCCACACACCCCGAUGGCUUUCGGCUGGAGGGACCCCUGGCUGCAGCCCACAGCAUUGGGCCUCGCACUGUGCUCUAUGAAGGCCCUGUCCGUGGGCUGUGCCCCUUUGCCCCCCAAAACUCUAACACCAUGGCAGCUGCUGCCCUGGCUGCCCCCAACCUAGGCUUCGAUCGCGUCAUUGGGGUGCUUGUGGCUGAUCUCAGCCUCACAGACAUGCAUGUGGUGGAUGUGGAGCUGCAAGGACCCCCAGGACCCACAGGCCGGAGCUUUUCUGUGCACACCCACAGAGAGAACCCCGCUGAGCCAGGCGCUGUCACAGGCUCCGCCACUGUCACAGCCUUCUGGCGCAGCCUCCUGAGCUGCUGCCAGCUACCCUCCAGGCCAGGGAUCCAUCUUUGCUGAGAAGCCUCCUUCCUGAGACGACAUCUUCACACGAUCUACCUUCCUACCACCACCGCCACCCCACUCCUGCCCUGGCCUCACUGUCCCAGGACCUCCCUUCUAUUUCACGCGUGACGUCAUCGCAGAGGGCGAGGACCCGCGCGAACAGAGCCUCUGAAAGCCCCGCGAGAGCCUGCCCGCCUCGCUUCCCAGAAUCCUCCAAGCAGCAGGGGGCGUGUAGGGCGCAAGUUGGGGGAGCCUUG